rnacentral:tRNA from 1 species
GAGGGUGUAGCUCAGUGGUAGAGUGUGUGCUUAGCAUGCACAAGGUCCUGGGUUCAAUCCUCAGUACCUCCA